GAUGAACGCUGGCGGCGUGCCUAAUACAUGCAAGUCGAGCGAAUGGAUUAAGAGCUUGCUCUUAUGAAGUUAGCGGCGGACGGGUGAGUAACACGUGGGUAACCUGCCCAUAAGACUGGGAUAACUCCGGGAAACCGGGGCUAAUACCGGAUAACAUUUUGAACCGCAUGGUUCGAAAUUGAAAGGCGGCUUCGGCUGUCACUUAUGGAUGGACCCGCGUCGCAUUAGCUAGUUGGUGAGGUAACGGCUCACCAAGGCAACGAUGCGUAGCCGACCUGUGAGGGUGAUUGGCCACACUGGGACUGAGACACGGCCCAGACUCCUACGGGAGGCAGCAGUAGGGAAUCUUCCGCAAUGGACGAAAGUCUGACGGAGCAACGCCGCGUGAGUGAUGAAGGCUUUCGGGUCGUAAAACUCUGUUGUUAGGGAAGAACAAGUGCUAGUUGAAUAAGCUGGCACCUUGACGGUACCUAACCAGAAAGCCACGGCUAACUACGUGCCAGCCGCCGCCGUAA
rnacentral:rRNA from 1 species